ensembl:lncRNA
CCGGGACGGAGCGAGCGUUCUAGAGAGCGAGGGAGGCAGAGCGAGAGCGCGCGGCCCAUUUGUGAGCUACCUGUUGGGGAGCAGGAGAGGGCAGGGGCAGGAACCCCGGGCCCGGCCGCCGGUCCCCAGCGCCUUCCGCUCUUGCCCUUCCGGGCAGCUUCAGGGUCACUUUCAUGAAUUCAAAAGCAAUUUACCAGUGAUUUCUGGGUGCUGGGGCUGAUUUUUUUGUGCGUAUUUGUAAGUAUUGGUUCAUUUAUUAUUCUUAUUAUUCUUCUCGUUGUGUAAUGAAACAGUUACAGUGUUUUUAAAGUAUUAUUAGUUUUUUAAAAAGUGUUUUCUUAAAAGGAGUAUAGAAGAAUAUCAGGUGGGAACAAAAAAAAAAUCCUCAAUUUCUUGUGAUUUUCAGUGAAAUAACACAAGGGCAGGGCCAACUAAAAUAGACCGAAAGAAUGCGCAUCUUACUAUUUGAAGAUGGGGCUCAAUUGUAGGAAUGGAUUAACUUAAAGGGGC